UACGUAGGGGGCGAGCGUUGUCCGGAUUUAUUGGGCGUAAAGAGCGUGUAGGCGGCCAGGUAGGUCUGCUGUGAAAACUCGAGGCUCAACCUCGAGACGUCGGCGGAAACCAUCUGGCUAGAGUCCGGAAGAGGAGAGUGGAAUUCCUGGUGUAGCGGUGAAAUGCGCAGAUAUCAGGAAGAACACCGGUGGCGAAGGCGGAUCUCUGGGCCGAUACUGACGCUGAGGAGCGAAAGCGUGGGGAGCGAACAGG
rnacentral:rRNA from 1 species